GUCCUCUCAGGGUCACACCUGGAGAGUUUCCAGUACUCUACCAGUCUCGACUACAGGAGGAAGAGCCAAGCAGAGGCAUACCCAUUCCAUUCCUAGCUUGGGCUAGCAUGUGGAAGGCAAUCUGCUGCAAGU